UACGUAGGGGUGCAAGCGUUGUCCGGAAUUAUUGGGCGUAAAGAGCUACGUAGGCGGUUUGUCGCGUCUGCUGUGAAAAACUCGGGGCUUGAACUCCGGGCCCUGCAGUGGGUACGGGCAGAACUAGAGUGCGGUAGGGGAGACUGGAAUUCCUGGUGUAGCGGUGAAAUGCGCAGAUAUCAGGAGGAACACCGGUGGCGGAAGGCGGGUCUCUGGGCCGUAACUGACGCUGAGGAGCGAAAGCGUGGGGAGCGAAACAGG
rnacentral:rRNA from 1 species